rnacentral:rRNA from 1 species
GGUGAGUAACGCGUAUCCAACCUUCCGUACACUCAGGGAUAGCCUUUCGAAAGAAAGAUUAAUACCUGAUGGUAUGAUGAGAUUGCAUGAUAGCAUCAUUAAAGAUUUAUCGGUGUACGAUGGGGAUGCGUUCCAUUAGGUAGUAGGCGGGGUAACGGCCCGCCUAGCCAACGAUGGAUAGGGGUUCUGAGAGGAAGGUCCCCCACAUUGGAACUGAGACACGGUCCAAACUCCUACGGGAGGCAGCAGUGAGGAAUAUUGGUCAAUGGACGAGAGUCUGAACCAGCCAAGUAGCGUGAAGGAUGAAGGUCCUACGGAUUGUAAACUUCUUUUAUAAGGGAAUAAACCCUCCCACGUGUGGGAGCUUGUAUGUACCUUAUGAAUAAGCAUCGGCUAACUCCGUGCCAGCAGCCGCGGUAAUACGGAGGAUGCGAGCGUCAUCCGGAUUUAUUGGGUUUAAAGGGAGCGCAGACGGGUCGUUAAGUCAGCUGUGAAAGUUUGGGGCUCAACCUUAAAAUUGCAGUUGAUACUGGCGUCCUUGAGUGCGGUUGAGGUGUGCGGAAUUCGUGGUGUAGCGGUGAAAUGCUUAGAUAUCACGAAGAACUCCGAUUGCGAAGGCAGCAUACUAAUCCGUAACU